rnacentral:ncRNA from 1 species
UCACGAUAAAGGCAAACAGCUCGAAAGGGCGGGGCGCAAAGCCAUGGGCCUAAGAUCCAGGUAAAGGAUUAUGGCUGCCAGGCUGCCGUG